UAGGGAUGAUGGUGGCACCGUGCCCUUCAUUUAACCCUUGUACCUUAUUAAGGUUUCUGGAGGGGUAAGGCCUUGUCUUUGAUGCUAUAACUUUUUUUCUAUUAAUGCCCUUGCAAAGAAAUUCCUAGAAAAUGUGUAUUUUGUGAUGAGGCAUGAUAUACCUGAAAUUGAAGAAAAAAAACCCUAUGGUUAUGGUUUUUUCUUCAAAUAUGCUUAAUCUUGCAUUAGCGCCACACAAGUGCCCCAUGCAUUCCAAUGGGAAACCACUUGUCUUUUACAUAUACCCAUAUCAGUGGGAAAAAUGAAUUUCAGCAAAGACUGUUUUCCCCCUUUUCUGAAGACAUUAAAGAUGCACUGUGCACUUUCAGCCACAAGGUGCACCUUUUUUUCCAUGAAUAAUAGAGGCUGAUCUAGCCAGGUGGUCAAAACCCCAUUAUUCCUUAUGGGAAUUUGGCAAAAAUUACAAUAUUCAAAAAUCAAAAAAUGCACAUAAUUUUAUCACUAAUAAAAUUAAGCAUUUUUUAAUCUUAUUUUUACCAUUUCACUUUAUUUGGGCAUGAAUCUGUCUCAAAUUUGUUAUUCUGGUGUUUUUUUAUUUUUUUUACCAUUUUGGUCAGUUUGACACACCCGUAAACCACAGCCUAUGAUAGAUGCAGUCUUUUGGAAGGAAAAUCUGCUACCUGUUUGUAAUAUACUGCCACAGGAGUUCAAAUCAGAUUUUCCCCCCCAUUUUUUUGCAUUUUAUCUUGAGUCUAUUUCCAAUCCAACUUUUUCAAAUUAUGAAUGCUGAAAUUUCAUUUGUUUUCAUAUCCGUUAUUGACCUUCAGUGAGAGGCCAUUUUUUGCAAAAAAACAAAAGUGGACUGUAGAAGUGAAUAAAUCAGGUGUGCAUGUAUUUUUUUAAUGUGUUAGUGUUUUCCGUGUGUGCAUGGUCGUGUGUGUUCGUGUGCAAAUGUUUGUGCACGCGCAUGAUCUUGCGCGCGCUCGUCACAGCCAGCGAUUGCGUUCAUGGCACAUGCGCCCCAAGCGUCCGAGGUUGCCCCGGGUACAGCCGCCCCGUUACCCGUGAUCAGAUAGCCUUAGGCCCGCGUCAGCAAAGGCGGGGAGCCGCUGGCUGCUCUGGAGGUGGUAACCUCACCUCACCACUCGAAAACGGGGGUGUCGGUGGGUUUUGCCGGCGAAUUUUACGCGCUUCGCGGCGGGGACACACACACACACACACACACACACACACACACACACACACACACACACACACACACACACACACACACACAAAGCUCAUCCCCAUCGCGGGUCAGUCCCGACCAGAGCAGUGUUUGGCCCAAUUCCAAACUCCACCCUAAGCCCUCAAGCCCUGCACCCUCAUUAGCUUAGGUUAAGUCAGCUGGUAAGUGCUUGAGUGUGGGAGGGUUUAAGGGCUCCAAAAGGGUAUAAAAGCAAUGGAACAGCCCUUUGUGACGUGCCACGUUACCUCGACGACAGACGACAACGUUGCCGUGACAACCAAAGAUGACUGACACUUGCCUCUCUGGGCCUCUUAAUUCUGCAUUUAUUUCGCGGCCAGCGACGUCGCAGAAGAAAGGCCAACAUUGUUCCGCUCCUUUUGCACACACUUGCUCUUGAACAUAGAUAACAGGUAAUUGAUAAAUAAUGAUUAGAUUGAUAAAUUAGAAAACCAGCAUUAAUGAUAGGUUAAGUGAUAUUGAAUGGUUAAAAGGUUGAAGCACUAGAUUCUGAAAGUAAUCACUGCUUUAGAGUGUUAGUUCAGGAUAAAAUGUAUUGCUUCAGAUAAAAGUUUGAAGUGAAAAUCAAUUUUCUUUGUUAUAAGAAUAACGCAUGCGUGUGUGUGUGUAUGUGUGUGUGUAUAUAUGUAUGUAUAUAUAUACACACACACACACACACACACACACGCCCACCAUACACGAUGCGGAACAUCCAUGUUAGAGUAUUAAGGGUGCACCUAGAUCCUGAAUGAACUGCUACUUCUUGACCUUCUUCGCCAUGAUCUCCGUCAUUUUUGGUGUCUGUCGCGGACGAUUCCCUCGUUCCUUUUUAAAUCCUGGCCCCGGCUGCGUCGGCGUCCUCCAGUAACGCCCACAACGCAAUGAAUUGUGGGCAAUUUCAUAGCCAAAGUCUCCAACGGUACGGACUUACGGAAAGGGUGCAGAAAGGGGCGUUCCCGAGCCCUCGCUGACUUACCGAUUUCAUUUGGAACAACCCUCAAGCCCUUACAGAGCUCACAUGAGCGCGCACCUAAGUCAAUGAGUCAGUGAGGGGGUGGUUUGGAAUUGGGCCUUUAAUCCACUGCUCUGCUCCCGACCUCUUCUUCUUCUUCCGGGUAACGGGGUUUUGCAUCCGGCAGUCCGACGUAACUCGUAGGCUAAUUGCUGUGCCGCGCCACCUGAUCUGGAGGUACACACACACACACACACACACACACACACACACACACACACAGACACACGCACACACACUCGCACGCCGGCACACACACACACUCGCUCGCAGGUACACGCGCGCGCGCGCACGCACGAAGGCACACCCACACACGCACAUACAUGUUUCAAACUAAAAUUAAAAGGAUUAAAAGUUUGAAAAUAGUUGAUUUUUUCUUUUGAGUGGUUAGAGCAGAAGUCAAUGAUGACAGCCAUGAUAAAAAAAGGGCAACUUUUCAUUUGUAGAUGACUUUAUAGGCCACAAAGACAGUGGCAGUUCCGUGCCACUAAUGCAAGAUUAGUCGUUUUUUUUUAUUUUAGGCUGUCACGCAAAAACUGAAACUGCAACUAAAACUAAUUUCACACAUACUCAUACCACUCAUAGGUUCUGAUAAUCUUGCACAAAGAAAUUUGAUUUUGCAUUACUCUUAUAAUUUUUAGCCCUUUUUUUAAAUUUUGGGCAUUUUUUACAGUGUGUUUACACUAAAGUUAAAAAGGUUAAAAGUUUGAAAGUGGGUGAUUUUUUAUUUUGAGUGGUUAGAGCAGAAGUCAAUGAUGACAGCCAUAAUAAAAAAAGGGCAACUUUUCAUUUGUAGAUGAUUUUAUAGGCCACUAAGUGACAGUGGCAGUUCCAUGCCACUAAUGCAAGAUUAGUCGUUUUUUUUUAUUUUACGCUGUCACGCAAAAACUGAAACUGCAACUAAAACUAAUUUUACACAUACUCAUACCACUCAUAGGUUCUGAUAAUCUUGCACAAAGAAAUUUGAUUUUGCAUUACUCUUAUUAUUUUUAGCCCUUUUUUUUUAAAUUUGGGCAUUUUUUACAAUGUGUUUACACUAAAAUUAAAAGGGUUAAAAGUUUGAAGCUAGGUGAUUUUUUCUUAUGAGUGGUUAGAGCAGAAGUCAAUGAUGACAGCCAUGAAAAAAAAGGGAAACUUUUCAUUUAUAGAUGAUUUUAUAGGCCACUAAGUGACAGUGGCAGUUCCUUGCCACUAAUGCAAGAUUAGGGAUUCUGUGUUAAUAAGGUAGCAGGGUUAAAUAAGGGAGAAGACACAAAUGAGCUUGUACACAGAGUAGUCAUGUCGUCAUUUGCCAUCACCUUUAUAUUAUCAUCAUCAUAAUCAGAAUGGACCACUGGUGAAAGGAAGGUUUUUUUAAUGGGAAAUUGUUGCUGUUGUCGUCUUCAGUGUUUUGGAUGAGAUCGUUCGUGCCUUUAUUCUGUUAUGUGUUGACAGUACAUUGAGAGAAAGAAAAGAAAGAAAAUCAGAUAUUUCCAAAUAAUUACAGCUGACGGGAUCGAACCCACAGAGCAGUGAAAAACACAUUUUACCAGCACUUCUCUUUACCCACUCAGCUACUGAAUAUUUCUCUUUCUCUUUGAGGUUGGUGUAGUAUUGUGCAUGUCCGGAUUCACGUAUUCCUAUGUUGUUUUAAAAAGGCUCUCAAUUUAUUUUUCCGAACAAGAGCAUCGUUUAUUACAGAUAAAGAUGAAAUUACUGUGUGACAUGCGGUUCACAAAGCGUCUUCUGGAAGCCUGUCGGAGCUUCUCUGAGACACAGCUAAGGUUAGCUUGACCGUAAGCCGGCCUGGGACCAGGCUUGUCACACUGGCUGAGUUACCAUGGUUACCAAGCCACGCUAGACCUAAGCCUCAUUUGUGGAACCGAACUCUCACUAAAAUUAGCCAAGCUAACCGAAAUAAGCCAAGCUUUGAGCUAAGCCAGCUUUGUGGAAUACCCCCUUGGAGGAAAGAGAGUUUCUACAAAAGCAGAGGAUAAACACAGCAUUGUCACCAGUAAGAGAGAUCGGCAAAAGACAGCACCAAAAAUAAGGGAGAAAAUCAACAUGACAAGGUUGGAACCCAUAUCUCUGACAACCGUGAAAUGACGUUUGAGAAAGGCUGGUCUGAAGGGUUGUGUAUCUGCAAAAAAACACUACUUCGCCCACAGAACAAGAAAAGGAGAUAUGAGUGGGCAAAAGCUCACAAAAACUUGACUUAUGAUGGCUAGAAACAAGUUUGCAUUGUUUGGUUCAAAACGCAGAGUCUAUGUCUGCAGACAAACUGGUGAACAUCUGAAAGCACCAUGUGUUACACCCACAAUUCAGCAUGGAGGUGGUAGUUCCAUGGUAUGGGGAUGUUUUGCAGGUGAUAGAGUAGGAGAUUUGUUUGAAGUAAAGGGUAUCAUGAAGAAGGAACAGUACCACUCCAUCCUCCAGCACCAUGCUGUUCCAUCUGGACUCAGACUUGUGGCUCAUAAGUUUCUUUUGCAGCAAGACAAUGACCCUAAGCGCUCUGCCAAGCUCUGUCAGGGUUACCUAGACAAAAAAGAAGAGGAGGUUGUUCUUCAAAAGAUGGUUUGGCCCCCUCAGUCUCCAGACCUUUCUCCGAUCGAGCUUCUGUGGAAUUAAUUGGAUCGAUCGGUCAGAAAAGCGCGUCCCACGAAUCAGCAGUCUCUUUUUAAUGAACUUAAGAAAGCUUGGAAUGCAAUCCCUGGAACAUACCUUAAAAAACUUGUGGAAUGAAUGCCUGGUAUAUGCCAAGCUGUUGUUAAAGCCAGAGGAGGUUACUUUAAAGGGAGCAAAGUCUAAGCAACAACAACUCAAAUACCUAAUAAUUAUAGUCAAAAUGUCUUCUGAUUAGCUACUCUUUACACAAUAGUCAUGUUUAUUGUGUUGCAAAUUAUGAUACUGUGUUGCAAUAUGAAACUAUGAUCUUUUUUUCUACGAAUCUGAUCUUGCUUCCAAACUUUUGGCCUGUAGUGUAUAACUAAUCUGUCAUCCUCCUGUCAUGUCAUAAGUAAUCACUGAUUGAUGAUAUCAGUCAACAGGACAAGGUACUUUUGAAGAUAAUGGUGAAACAAUGUCUUCAAUUAAGGCUAUGAAACAGUACAUAAAUCUCAAAAAAUAUUUAGAUGAUGGAGAUUGUAUUUGUAAUAAAUUGUUACAGUGCAUGGACAGAUUUGGUCAUGAAGUUCAGGCAAUGUCACUAGGUCAAAGUUUAUAUGGUUUAUUGUAUUCUGGUAAGGGCAUUUUUGCUAUGGCUUUGGUUUUCUCAGGGUCGGGCUUCACCCCUGCUUCUGAUAGCUUUACCCUAAGGUAUGUAAUGUCACUCACACCAAAUUGGCGUUUAUUUUUGUUUAGUUUUAAACCUGCUUCUUGUGCGUUAUUAAGCACUCUUCUCAGACUUUCAUCAUGUUCCUGUUCUGUGUGACCCCAGACUGUGCUGCAUGGUUUUGUGAAAUACUUUGGGGCACAACUUAUACCAAAAGGCAGUCUUAAGAAACAAUGCCUUCCAAAUGGAGUACUGAACGUGCAUAACUUUGCACUCUCUUCAUCUAGCACUAUUUGGUAGAAUCCAGAUGAGGCAUUGAGUUUGGAGAAGUAGCGUGGUCCACUCAUAGCACUGGUUAUGUCUGAUUUGGUUGGUAGUCUGUAGUGUUUGCAUUGAAUCACUUUAUUUAAAUCCUUGGGAUCUAUGCAUAGUCUCAGAUCUCCAUCUGACUUUUCUAGUAUGACUAGGGAACUUAGCCAUUCUGUUGGCUCAUCUAUCUUUCUGACAAUCUUUUCUUCUAUCAGGGCAUCAAACUUGGCUCUCAGUCUCUUUGUUAGUGCUACUGGCACCCUCCUUGCUGAAUGUAUGACUGGCUCUGCAUCAGCCCUCAACUUAAUUUUGUGUUCAUCUGGUAGGCGGCCUAUUCCUUUGAACACAUCUCUGUAUUCUUUCUCCCAGUUACUGAUUUCUGUUUUCUUUCGUGUCACUUUCUCUGUUAAUGACAUGGACUCUUUUAAUUAGCCCUAAGGCUAUGCAGGCUUUCAACCCCAGUAGUGCUUGCCUUUCCCCAUCAACAAGAACAAAAAAUGCAUUCACCAGCAGAUAGGUUACCCAGGCAGUUAAACACAGUUUAAUAAAUUGUUUGAAGAACAUAAAACCAGUAAA
rnacentral:lncRNA from 1 species